rnacentral:rRNA from 1 species
UACGGAGGGUGCAAGCGUUAUCCGGAUUCACUGGGUUUAAAGGGUGCGUAGGUGGGUCUGUAAGUCCGUGGUGAAAUCUCCGAGCUUAACUUGGAAACUGCCAUGGAUACUAUAGGUCUUGAAUACUGUGGAGGUCAGCGGAAUAUGUCAUGUAGCGGUGAAAAUGCUUAGAUAUGACAUAGAACACCAAUUGCGAAGGCAGCUGGCUACACAAAUAUUGACACUGAUGCACGAAAGCGUGGGGAUCAAACAGG